UACGGAGGGGGCUAGCGUUGUUCGGAAUUACUGGGCGUAAAGCGUACGUAGGCGGCUUUGUAAGUUAGAGGUGAAAGCCCGGGGCUCAACUCCGGAAUUGCCUUUAAGACUGCAUCGCUUGAAUCAUGGAGAGGUUAGUGGAAUUCCGAGUGUAGAGGUGAAAUUCGUAGAUAUUGGGAAGAACACCGAUGGCGAAGGCAGCCAUCUGGACCGACACUGACGCUGAGGCGCGAAAGCGUGGGGAGCAAACAGG
rnacentral:rRNA from 1 species